rnacentral:rRNA from 1 species
UACGUAGGGGGCAAGCGUUGUCCGGAUUUAUUGGGCGUAAAGAGCGUGUAGGCGGCCAGGCAGGUCCGCUGUGAAAACUCGAGGCUCAACCUCGAGAGGUCGGUGGAAACCGUUUGGCUAGAGUCCGGAAGAGGGGAGUGGAAUUCCCGGUGUAGCGGUGAAAUGCGCAGAUAUCGGGAAGAACACCCGUGGCGAAGGCGGCUCUCUGGGACGGUACUGACGCUGAGACGCGAAAGCGUGGGGAGCGAAUAGG